rnacentral:lncRNA from 10 species
UGGACCACUGGGCUGGGACCCACGACCCCACCACCACGCCUGGAGGACGCGCAGCGGCGCCUCGGCCUUGGAAGGGGAGUUUCCCAGCGCGAGCCCCGCCCUUCCCCGCCCGGGAGGCGCCUCGGGGCGGGGUCACUGGCCGGGAGGCCCCGCCUUCCGCCCGAAAGCGCCGGUGCACCCCGCAGGCCCUGCCCGUGGGUCCACAGGCCGGAUCCCCGGGUUCCUAGGCUGGGACUGCUUCUCAGAACCACUCUGUCGUUUUUAAGCAGGGUCACACACUCUAGCUCACUGGGUCCAUUUUAAUUUCUAUUAAACAUUUUUUUUUUUUUGCAAAUGAUGUAGUAGGAGAUCCAAGGUGUUUGGUUAAUGAUUUAUUCACUCAUUAGUCAUUCCACAAACUUGUCUUGAGCACCUGUUAUGUACCCAGCACUGUGCUGGAAUGCUGAGGAGACAGGAGUGAAGUAAAAAGACAUGGUUCCGGCAGGAAACAGGCAAGGAGAGCCUUGACUUGGUAGGGCUAACACAGUGCUACACAGGAGGGACGCCCGCUCGGUGUCGGGGGUCAGCAAAGCUUCCUUAAGGACCACUAGGUUGAGACAAGAAGGAUGAGUAUGGGAUUAGCCAGGAAAGGGAAAAGGGCAGUGGGAACUGGAAGAGAAGAGCCUUCUAGGACUGGGAAAGAGCAAGUGCCGGGUCAGGAGAGAGGACAUAGCAGUGAGGAGGCAGUAGGUAUGGAUGAAUGAGCAGAGGAAGUGGGGAGAGAUUAAGGUGCUUUCAGAAACGGGUUGGAAACCAGUUUAGUGAGUUUGGAUGGCAUUUACCUAAAGGCAAUGUUAGAGUCAUCGAAAGUUUUUAAUCAGGCAAGUGGUAUGAUCAGUUUUUUGUUUUGUUUUGUUUUUUUUGAGACGGAGUCUGGCUAUAUCGCCAGGCUGGAAUGCAAUGGCGCGAUCUCUCCUCACUGCAACCUCCGCCUCCCGGGUUCAAGCGAUUCUCCUGCCUCAGCACCUCGAGUAGCUGGGACUACAGGCGCGCGCCACCACGCCCAGUAAGAGGAAAUAACUCUACAUUCAAAUUUGAGCAGGGCACUUGGUGACCUACUUAGACAUGACAUUCCUUGGCCUCCCUUUCAGCAAGAUGAGAAAACUGAGGCACAGAGAGGUGAAAUAAGGCCCCCAGAAUGCUCUUCUCCAAGACUUAGAAAAAUCAAAUGCUAUCCAUCCCUCAAGAUACAUCCCUCCAGCCCCUCCUUGAAGUCUCCUGCAGCUAGAAGUAGAAGUAGCAUCUAUCCCCAUCUGGACUCCUUAGCACUUUGCUGUACCUGCCUUAGUCCCCAUCUCUUUACACACACACACACACACACACACACACACACAGAGUAUUAUAAUACUAUUACCUAUUAUAUUACAUUAUAUUAUUGUAGUUCUACAGGAACUACAAGGAAUUCUACUGUGAAUUCCUUAAGGGUGGGAUACAUUUUACAAUCAUCACUGUUUCUCUCAUUAGUUGUGGAAUCAAAAAAAUGAGUGCACGAUGAAAAAUUAUUCAAACACAUACAUGCUUUCAUUCCAAUUGAAAAUGUAAAAAUAUUACUGUUAAAACAAUAUUAAAGGACAUGUAAUACAAUUCAAAUAUUCCUACCAUGCACGAUUGUUUUCACUUCUUUGUGCCUCUUUCACCAUUUAUUUGUGUGCAUACUCAGCAUAUUUGUUUGUGUAACAGGAUGUUAAAAAUAGAAUUUGUUGCCUGUAGUUUUUGCUAAAGCUCUACUAGACUGGAACAGAACAAUAGGUGGUAAAUACUCCAUUCCUCAGUGAGAUGCUACCUACCUAUGCAGAGCUGGAAAAGAUUUUGCAACCUGAAAACCCAAUCCUUUCUGAGAUAUAAAAGAACAGAAGAGUCUGGAAGUGAUUUCUUCGGAGAAAUUCAUUUUCUUAUUCCAGAGAAGAAACUUCAAGCUCAGAAUAUUGGCUACUACCUGUGAUAAACAUUUAAAUUAUUGGAACGAGAGAGUUUUUAUAACUAAAUUUGAAAGAAGCAAUUUUUUUUAUCAAAGACCAACCCGAAGAUUCAUGACCACUACCUGUGAUUUCAUCCAUGUUGCAAGGAAAAUCCUGCCCCACUUCCCCAAUAGGAAGAGUGGUGGGGGAAUAAUAAAGUUGUUUUAUGAUGCAUCCUGUGGACUUCUACUCGACAGAAUGGUAACAUUCAACUGUAAUCAGGAUGAGCAAGCCACUUUAUUAAACUAAAAUUUUAAACUUUAAUAAAUAUAAUACAAACUGAAAAAUAAAAAUAAUUUUUCAACUCUACACAAGUAUGUUAACUGCAUAAACAGUGAGAUGUUACACAGGGCUGAGGCCUAUACUUCUUCAGUUUGUACAUUAAACGUCUCCAUGGAGGGUCAAUUGCAUCCUACCUAUUCUGACAGUUAUCAGGUAGCGAGAGAUUUGAGGAAGAGGCGCUUUUCUAAUCUGGGGUAGGAAAAGGAAUGAUACCAUGUAUCAUGAGAAGUAUUUGCACAUAGUGUGUCAAUUAAGCAAGUGCUCAGACUAUUAACAACAUUACUAUGUGAUGAAUGUUUAUACAGUGGAUUCAAAAAUAAGCUUCUUUCCAGAAAGCAGCUUAGUUUUCAUUAAUUAUUACCAGCAUCUUGGUAAUUAUUUAUUUAAUGGUUUAAAAGUUAAAGUUUCAAUCUAUAUUUGUUUUUUUAACAUCAGCCAAGGAAAUACAUGUCUGUUAUACUGCAUCUUUGGAAGUAUGCAAUAAGUGUAACUAUUGAAUCUAUAUUGAAGAGCCACAAGACACUGAAUUUAAUUGGACGAGACUAUUUUAUUUAGGAAGACAAUCAUCUCCUGUGAUCAGCUUAAGGUUUUUGUUUUGUUUUAUCUGGAACAAGCUAAGUUCAUAUUUAGAAAAUAAAGUUAGUUUUUUGGGUGCAUGAGUUUUAGAGUAAAUUAGUAAUUUAGUAAACUUUGACAUUUCCACUUUGUCUCCAAACACAUUUAAAUUCUAUCUGUCUGACUGAAGUUCUAAGGCAUUCUGUGGUUACUUAGAAAUGAUUCCUUAUAUUAAUGUUUACAAAUGCUAAAUUGUAUUUGUUAAAUACAUGUCUUAUUGCCUAAGAGUUUUCCUUUCUUAUAAGUUUAAUAUAAAUGUCUAGGAAAUAAGACUCCCAUUUAAUAGCUUAUAAAGAAUGCUGAUGUAUCAGCAGUGGCCUUGACAUUAUUGGAUACAAGUAAGAUCUACACUGAUGAUUAAAUCAAAUUGGCUAAGAUUAUUCGUUCUAAUAAAAGCACUGACUCCAUGAAGUUUUCUUGUGGCUGAAAUUAACAUUCGUGUUCCUACAAGCUCUUUAAAAUCUUAGUUACUGAAAAUUAUUCCUUUUGACCUAAUUUUUUCUUUACUUUGGAUGUAUUUGACAAGGUAGAGGUUAGGGAUUGGAGAGUAUGUAAAGAAUGAAAUAAAAUGUAGUCACUUUUAACUAUAUCCACAUA